rnacentral:misc_RNA from 1 species
CGAUCCUUUAAUUAUGUUCAUAAAAAUAUGAAAUUAUAUACAGAGAAAAAAGUCAAAGACUUAGAUAAUCGAAGCAAUCAGUUUUCUCUCUACAUGAACUACAUUGUUCACAGUUAAAUUCCAUGAUACUAAUUGAAUUCUAAAUAAGUAUAUGAACGCGAUAAGGUUAAAUCGAACAGCCAGCGUAUCAGCUUCUGAUUUGUCGACGUAUACAAACACAUUAUCCGGCAUCAGUGUUUCUACUCAUUACACGUACGGAGUUGGCUAAGCGCGAUUUAAGUGACAAGCAACGAAUCAAAAAAAGGCCUGUCACUGAUUGCCGAUCGCGGCGCUCGCAACACGGAGCUCCUUUUCAUGACUCGGCAGAGAGCAACCGCAUUCUUCUGGCGCAACGAACUCGCGCGAGCGCGCCCCGGUGUCUAGUUGAAUUUUUCAUUCGCACGAAGCUUUUAUAAUCGUGUUGCCUACGAGAGAGCGCAUUAUAAUAUAUGUCGCAGGAUCGACGCCGAUGCUGGAAUCGUUACGAAACUCUCUGGCCGACCGCGACGAGAGUGAACGUAUGGUAAAGAAGUAAACAAAGAAUCUGGAAAAAGUCAGCCGUCUGCGUGGAAUUCGAACCGUGCCUUGGAACCGUCGUGCCUCGCGCGUUUCAGCCGCUCUGUUCCGCAUCAUGGGACCAUUUAAAUUCCAACACGUUUCGAAAUUCGACCUAAGGUUCAAGAAUAUUUACAUCACCGCUUAUUGUGCUUGGGAGAAAAAGUGGUACUCACGCGAGAGAAACCUUUGGAACUUGUCUAAAUGAAUUAUAGACUGUUAAUCAUGGGAAUAUGUACUAAAUAUACUUGAAAAUAUUCUAUCCUUACAAAAGUUGAAUUUUAUUCCUUUACUU